UACGAAGGGGGGCUAGCGUUGCUCGGAAUCACUGGGCGUAAAGGGUGCGUAGGCGGGUCUUUAAGUCAGGGGUGAAAUCCUGGAGCUCAACUCCAGAACUGCCUUUGAUACUGAAGAUCUUGAGUUCGGGAGAGGUGAGUGGAACUGCGAGUGUAGAGGUGAAUUCGUAGAUAUUCGCAAGAACACCAGUGGCGAAGGCGCUCACUGGCCCGAUACUGACGCUGGAGGCACGAAGCGUGGGGAGCAAACAGG
rnacentral:rRNA from 1 species